ensembl:lncRNA
GCAGCUGGCGGGUCCGGACCGGGAAGUGCGGUCAGCCCGCCCACGGCCCCAGGCAGGGGUGGGGGCCUGGGGUGGCGGCGGUGAACUCUGGUUCUGCCCGCCCGCCCUGCUGGGCUGCUUUCAAAGUCCAGGGCCUUGUGAGCCAGGCGCAGUCCGUUUCCCGUUGGAUCCCAGCCCAUGAGGUGGGGGUGGGGUGGCAGAGAGCCCCCCUGCUCCUGGAGAGGGAGGGAAGUGUGGGAGGCUGCCAGGAGCAGCCUGCGUGCACCUCAGCCUCCAGAUCCCCCUCUCCCAGCUGCUCCCUGAGGCCCCCAGCGGGGAGAGGAACAUACCAGCUGACCGAGGACCAUCCCGCUGAGCAGCGGGACUUGGCGAAGUCCUUCCCCAUUUUGGAAAGUCCACCGAAUCCAGACCGUCCUAGCCGUGGCCCUGCACGCACACCCCGACCUGUCCUGCUCGUCCUGUCCUGCCCGCCCCUCGGCACUGGGACUGGCUUUGGGUAACGGAGCAUCAUGAUGGCGGACACAAGCAGACCAGGCCUCAGGACUCUGGCUUGCACCCUCUGGCCUCCCUGAGACUCCAGCAGGUGACCCACGUGUGUGCGUGCUCAGCUGCUCAGGCGUGUCCGACUCUGCGACCCCGUGGGCUGUAGCCCGCCAGGCUCCUCUGUCCACGGGAUUCUCUAGGCAGAUGCUUUACCACUGAGCCACCUGGGAAGCCCCGCUAAGGUAACCAGUACCUCUGCCUUUUAGAGAUACAUCUCUCAGUGGGUUGCACUGGAGAGAAUUAAGCCAGAAAUAAGAAAGGACGGAGGGUUCCAUCUUGUCUCUGCACCACCUCUCUAUUUCCCUCUCUUUAAACAGAGAGGGUGGCCAUCUGCCUCCUGCAAGGAUUCAGAUUCAGUGAGACUCUGAAGGUGUUUGUACAAAUGCGUGUGCGCACGCACAGUCAGCCUCUCCUUCAAGCAAGGAGGCCUCCUGAACACAGCUCCUGCAUUCUUCCUGGGUCAAGGUUGUGGCCUGGAGCCUGAGCCUCGCAGCGGCAAGAAGGGGAAGCUGGGCUUGCUGAGCUCUGAGCCCCUGAAGGCAACAGGGCUUCCCCAAGGCCUCAGAGUGGGUGGGCAGAGCCUGGAACGAGCCCAGACCCGUGACUCUGCGGGGCGGGAGGGUGGGGAUGAGAGGCCCACCCUGGGGAGGGGCCUCUGCGCGUCCUUUUCACCCAGCGCCAGUCUCUUCAUGUCGCUCCGGGGCUACCUCCCCGCCAGGGGCGGCUUCCGGUCUGCCUUGGGCUUGGGCCGCAGAGACCAGCCUUGUGAGUACUGUGUAUGAAGUGAGAGCAAAUAGGCGCUGAGCGAGAGACCGUGGUGGGGCCGUGCCGGGCCUUGCACCGCAUCCCUGGCCCCUCUGAGGCCACCCCUGCUGAUUUCCUGGCUCCCAGAGGCCCCCUGGAUAAGCAAGGCGGCUGGCUGGGGGUGCUGGGCAAAUCUGAGGUGUGCACCUGUCGUUCUGGCUGGCGGGCUGGCUCCGUGGCAUCCUUCCCAGCCUCCAGAGCCACAGGGCACCUCCGCCGCAGCCAGCUUGACAGCAGCACUCCUGCGGCUCUGCUGUGGCCAGCGGACUGUGGGGACCAGGCGCUGGGCUGGCUGAGCGUCCGGGCGGGGGCUGGGGAAACCCGGCCUCGCACUCUCUCCUCUCCCCGCCUGCUCUCAUGGAAAAUAUGAACUGUGCUGGACGGGCUCCAAACGCAGGGGAUUCCAUUGUUCUGGCUUCCGCCCCGGCGUCUGGGGACCCAGCCCCUGCCUGGCCUUUCUCCCGGCGCCUCCAGGUCUUGGGACAAACCGUUCAAGAGCCUCAACCCUGCCACCUUCCUGGCCUGGGAUACAGACCCUGGGGAGCUUCUGGCCGGGAUGGCCUCCUCCUCAGCUCCAGAUGCUCCUUCUAAGCAGCUCAGCCCUCAGGGUGCUCUCUGCAGACUUUCUCCCCACCGGCUUCCCUCACAAGCUCUACUUCCUGGGGAGGGGAGGGGGGAGGGGAGGGGAGGGGAGG